UGAAGACGUACAGGGGGCAACACGGUAACUAUAUAGUCAGAAAAGUAAAAGAAUUCUCGCUAGGUCGGGGUGGGACCCGCUACGAGAACGUUUUGAAAAGCUGUCAAGACCCCGACUUGUCUUAAAUUACGUGACAAAGGACGUGCAGGGCAAUUGGUGUAAUUAUAACGGCCUUAACGUGCCUAAAUGCAUUAAAGUUGUAAGGUUAAGCGUGCUAGGGCCAGAGCAAUUCUGGGAUGGGUGACCCCCUGGGAAGUAAACUAAAAUUUUCACAAGUAUAGGAAUAAGGGACGAAUGGGAAAUUUGAGGUAACUUAAAGGAAAUUAGGAUAUGCGGAGUGAUUAGAAACACUCAAGAAGUCGGGUAGACUAAGACAAGAUAAGCUGGUGAGGAAGAAGAUAGCGCAAUGCAGCUUGGGAAUGAGAGUAAGUUUGAAUAAGCGUUUGAGAAUUGUUUUGUAAGCAAAAUGGUAGUAAAUGUGUAUUUGUACACAUGACACCCCAUUCAUGAUUGUACCGACCGACAGGUGGACCUCAGCAGCCAGUGUCGUGAGGUAUGAAAGACAUUAACCGAACAGAAUUUGAGAGACAAAGCGAAAGACAUGGUACAGAUAUUAUAAGUAAACUGACACUAGUUCCGUCGCCAGCUAAGGCCGGGACGUUCCAGCACAACGAUGUUCGGAAAUAGAAAAAAAAAAAAAAGGGGCGAGUACGUAAAAGGGGGACAGUAAUAGUAACGUUUGGGAAAUUUUGAAGGAAAGAAAGAGACCUCUCCGACGUAUUAUAAUACCCCAUAAGGCUAGUUGAACAUUCGAGGACGAAUGUUCUAAAGGGGGGGAGGAUGUUACAUCCCGUAUUUUUGAACGUCGGAUUAAUUAUAAGUUGAGGUGGGGCCCACACGUCAAGAUUUUUUUUGGGACAUGUGACAAAUUAUAUGAAUCACAUAUGUGAAGUUAAACACAACUCAAGAAGGACCCUUGGGCCAAAUCAAAGUGGAAGUCCUCCAAACGAAUAUUUUUAAGAAAACGUUUUCGGGUGACCUGACUUUGGGGGGCAAAAACGGUAUUAUAAGUUUGGAAUUUGGAAAAAUACCAAGAAAUAAAAGUUGUAGAUAAUUGAAUUAUCUUUCCAACCAUAGGUCGUGGGUUCCCAGGUGACGUCGGGACAAGGAGAUAUGGACGUUUUAAUGCAGAAAGGUUAGUGGGCUAGGCCCAAUCCGAGCCCAACCGGGUUAGGCCCAUUACCCAAGUUUUUAUAAGUGAAAAUUUCGGCCUUCCUCCUCAUUUUAAGACCUGUAACAACCAGAAAAUUCUGGAAAGAGAGAGAGAGGAGCUUUGGAGAGAAGAAAAACUAAUUUUGACCAAAAUCCGAGCCCCGAAUCCCGAAGCCCAUGAAGGGAAAAGUGUUGUACGCUGCGUUGUCUUCAAUUUGAGCUAAAAAUCAACCAAGGAGGAGGGUGAUAACGUGGUGGCUGAAUUCUUAAGAUUUUGGGCGAAACGGGAAUUGAAUUUGGAAAGGCGUAAAGAGCAUACAAGGUAUGUAAAGCUAUCCCGAUUAUUCUUUUGGCAUGUCCUAGGUGUACUAGGAUCGGAUUCGAGCCUCGGAAAGUAUUCUGCUCAUCGGAAUCCGCAUUUGAAAAUACCCCUUUUUCAUUCAAUGGAAUUGAACCCUAUAAGUAUGCUUUAUUGAAAGAAUUGUGCAAACUUCCGCAAAUUGUUUAGAAAAUUAUGGAAUGUCCCCAGAAUCUCCGUAGGUGACUUUAUAAGCUUAAAAUACGUAAUUUGAGCCCACCGCUUCGUUUGUCCCGAGGUGGGCCCACUAUUUCCGAUUUUACCCUUUUAGUGGUUAUGACUUGUCUUCGAGCGUUUUUUUUUUAAAGAAAUGUUUUUAACUACGCUUGUAAUUACUAAAUAAAACUUGUUUUAAAUAUUCCAUUAAGUCUUGUAAAACUGUUUCGGAACUUGGAAACGAACUUAGAAAGAUUAUGCUUCUGUAAUCCAUUAUGACAUCCGAAAUACACUCACUAUGAUUCUGUCCGAUUUCAUUAUUUCGAUUUGUCAUCCGAUAGGUCUUAUUGAGUCUCUGGAAAUAUAUGACAUUCGUUUGAAUUAUUUUGAUAAGCCCCAUAAUGUAUUUUGAAACAUGAAAAUGAUUACAAAAAGCUUAUUUUGACAUAUGCUAUUGGGAUAUCCGAAAUGCAUACACUAUGAUUACUGCUCCGCUUCUGUCAUAUGGUUUGUCAUCUGAAUUAUGCUACUGAGUCUCCGUAAAUGUGCUAUAUUUUAAUUUGCAUUAGUUUCUCACUACUCCAUUCGUGGAUGCCCCAAUGUUUCCCACACUGAGCCCGGGCCAGGAUAUGUUGUCAAGCGUAUUCCUCUGCAUUGUUCGCCGUGCCUCGAUGUGAGGGGGCAGGUAUACAUGUACAUGGGUUGUGGAGUAUGCUGUGCCAUGUACACACUCUGAUAUGAUAUGAUAUGAUCUGAUAUGGCCAUCUGAUAUGAUAUGUUAUGUUACGGGGUUAUCCCCUAUUCUGCUCCUUAUGUGUGGUGGCACCAGCGUCGGGGGGUGGCCACGUUCUGUUUGCCGAGUCCCUUGGAAGGGGUCGGAUAUGAUAUGGUAUAUGUUUCUGUACACACUCCUCAUGUUUCGAAAAUAUGCAUUUGAUACUUCGGAUGUUACACUCACUUCUCUGUAAGCUCUGUUUCGGUUAUGAUCUUGUUCCAUAAUGGGACCAGGUACGACAUAUGUUUCCAGCGAAUAUUAUUUAUGCUAUAUGAUCAGCAUUUUGCUAAUCUGGAUAUUCAGUUCAUUUUCUGUAUCUUCUGCUUCGAUUAUGACUUUGUUUACUACGUUCCGUGCUUUACAUACUCAGUACAUAUUUCGUACUGACCCCCUUCCUUCGGGGGCUGCGUUUUCAUGCCGCGCAGGUACAAACGACAGGUUUGCUGAUCCGCCCGCUUAGGACUUUAUUCUGCUAUUUUGGAGCGCUCCUUUAUCCGGAGCCCAUAUUUUGGUACAGUCUUCUGCUAUCGUAUAUAUGUACAUUAUUCAGGGGUACGACGGGGCCCUGUCCCGUCUUAUGAUUCUGUUAUGUUCUGUAGAGGUCUGUAGACAUACUUGUGUGGGUUCUGUAUAUGUUUUGGAUGAUAUGAUCUGUGACAGCCUUAUCGGCUUCCAUGUACUAUGUCGGUUCAUUUAUGAUAAUUACUAACGCCAA